rnacentral:rRNA from 1 species
CCUACGGGGGGCAGCAGUGGGGAAUAUUGGACAAUGGGGGGAACCCUGAUCCAGCCAUGCCGCGUGUGUGAAGAAGGCCCUCGGGUUGUAAAGCACUUUCAGUGAGGAAGAACGCCUGGCGGUUAAUACCCAUCAGGAAAGACAUCACUCACAGAAGAAGCACCGGCUAACUCCGUGCCAGCAGCCGCGGUAAUACGGAGGGUGCGAGCGUUAAUCGGAAUUACUGGGCGUAAAGCGCGCGUAGGUGGCUUGAUAAGCCGGUUGUGAAAGCCCCGGGCUCAACCUGGGAACGGCAUCCGGAACUGUCAAGCUAGAGUGCAGGAGAGGAAGGUAGAAUUCCCGGUGUAGCGGUGAAAUGCGUAGAGAUCGGGAGGAAUACCAGUGGCGAAGGCGGCCUUCUGGACUGACACUGACACUGAGGUGCGAAAGCGUGGGUAGCAAACAGGAUUAGAUACCCCAGUAGUC